AUGCCAUGCGACUGCUGCGGGAUUGACAAUUUCGUUUUUGAAUAUGUUGGUAGAAAAGUGUUUGACAGUUUAUUGUCCUUGUUCACAGAGGAACAGUUUACAAGGUGAUCAUGUUAUGGAAGUGAAUGUACAAUUAUUAUGAAGCGACAAGUGAUGUUCUCCUGAAAAUUGAAACCUUGAAUCUGCACCCUUUCGGUUAGAGGUUGGAUACGACAGUUACUGUUUGAAUCCAACUAUGCAUUCUACACAAGAACACGAUCAGUGUCGAGGAUCUCGUCGAUAUCAUUGACCUUUAAGUAUGUCAGAGGGGAGAGGGUCGUGAGUGUCCAGAGCCGAAGACAAUAGUCUGAACUAGAUCUGGGUUCAACGCGGUAACGGGCUGCUUCCACACGCGACACGAGGAAAGAUGGAGGUGAUGGAGGUGAUGGAGGUGGAGACACCAGCAUUUAUGACUGAGAACGAGUACGUAUACCGGGUGAUCGUUCCGUCUAUAUCGCGGCAAGUCGACCGGAAAUCAACCAAAGGAAUCGUAUUCCCGAUAUCGCCGG